rnacentral:pre_miRNA from 1 species
CCCAAGUGCAAUUUUGUACGGUUUAUAUACAAAAAGUUUGACCGUUCGUUUUAUUUAAAAAAAUAUAAUAUUUUUAUUGUUAUUAGAUGAUAAAAUAUGAAUAAUAUUUUAUGUGUAACUAUUUUUUUUAUUUUUUUAUAAAUUUUUUAAAUAAGAUAGAUGGUCAAAUAUUGAACACAUAUACCUAGCUGUACUUAUU